UGCAGUUCAGGAAACCAGGCUGAAGAACGUGAAGUAUAUCGCCCAAAGUCAGACACGAAGGAACAACUGCUUUGGAGCUAGCACAUUCCUGAGCUGGAAUUGCACCACUGGUCAAUGGGACUGCAGAAUCCAAACUGCUUUCUACCGGAACAACUCCUUCCCUGCAGGAAGCAGGGUGCUCAUGGCUGAACCAUGGUCUGAGAAGGUUGAUGAAGUCACUGACUCAGCCCCAGCAAGGAAGUUGUCCUUCGACUUCUGACCUCUGGCCAUGUUUGAAAACCAACUCAAAUCGUCUUUCUUUUUCAGAUUUGGAAACUUCUGCAGUUUCAAUCAAAGAAAUGGUGCUGGCAUUCAAAAGGAAGAUGGAGAAUUCACUGGAGAACUACAAUGGCUUCACAACGAAUGUAAAAGACAAGUCUCAGGAAAAGAUGUAA
rnacentral:lncRNA from 1 species